rnacentral:rRNA from 1 species
UACGUAGGGUGCAAGCGUUAAUCGGAAUUACUGGGCGUAAAGCGUGCGCAGGCGGUUGUGCAAGACAGAUGUGAAAUCCCCGGGCUCAACCUGGGAAUUGCAUUUGUGACUGCACGGCUAGAGUGUGUCAGAGGGGGGCAGAAUUCCACGUGUAGCAGUGAAAUGCGUAGAGAUGUGGAGGAAUACCGAUGGCGAAGGCAGCCCCCUGGGAUAACACUGACGCUCAUGCACGAAAGCGUGGGGAGCAAACAGG